rnacentral:rRNA from 1 species
CAAUAGCGUAUAUUAAAGUUGUUGCGGUUAAAAAGCUCGUAGUUGGAUUUCUGCCGAGGACGACCGGUCCGCCCUCUGGGUGUGUAUCUGGUUUGGCCUGGGCAUCUUCUUGGAGAACGUAGCUGCACUUGACUGUGUGGUGCGGUGUCCAGGACUUUUACUUUGAGGAAAUUAGAGUGUUUCAAGCAGGCACACGCCUUGAAUACAUUAGCAUGGAAUAAUAAGAUAGGACCUCGGUUCUAUUUUGUUGGUUUCUAGAGCUGAGGUAAUGAUUAAUAGGGAUAGUUGGGGGCAUUCGUAUUCCGUUGUCAGAGGUGAAAUUCUUGGAUUUACGGAAGACGAACUACUGCGAAAGCAUUUACCAAGGAUGUUUUCAUUAA